rnacentral:rRNA from 1 species
ACAAGCGGUGGAGUAUGUGGUUUAAUUCGAUGCAACGCGAAGAACCUUACCUGGUCUUGACAUCCCGGAGACCCUUAGGAAACUAGGGGUGCUUCCAUCUGGAAGAAUCUGGAGACAGGUGCUGCAUGGCUGUCGUCAGCUCGUGCCGUGAGAUGUUGGGUUAAGUCCCGCAACGAGCGCAACCCUUGCCUUCGGUUGCCAGCAGUUCGGCUGGGCACUCUAAAGGGACUGCCGGUGUUAAACCGGAGGAAGGUGGGGAUGACGUCAAGUCCUCAUGGCCUUUAUGACCAGGGCUACACACGUACUACAAUGGCCGAUACAAAGGGCAGCGACACUGCGAGGUGAAGCCAAUCCCGUAAAAUCGGUCUCAGUCCGGAUUGGAGUCUGCAACUCGACUCCAUGAAGUUGGAAUCGCUAGUAAUCGUGGAUCAACAUGCCACGGUGAAUACGUUCCCGGGCCUU